rnacentral:rRNA from 1 species
CCUACGGGAGGCAGCAGUGAGGAAUAUUGGUCAAUGGGCUUACGCCUGAACCAGCCAAGUCGCGUGAGGGAAGACUGCCCUAUGGGUUGUAAACCUCUUUUGUCAGGGAGCAACGCCGGCUACGUGUAGCCGGACUGAGAGUACCUGCAGAAAAAGCAUCGGCUACCUCCGUGCCAGCAGCCGCGGUAAUACGGAGGAUGCGAGCGUUAUCCGGAUUUAUUGGGUUUAAAGGGUGCGUAGGCGGAAUGCCAAGUCAGCGGUAAAAUCGCGGGGCUCAACCUCGCUCCGCCGUUGAAACUGGCGGUCUUGAGUGGGCGAGAAGUAUGCGGAAUGCGUGGUGUAGCGGUGAAAUGCAUAGAUAUCACGCAGAACUCCGAUUGCGAAGGCAGCAUACCGGCGCCCAACUGACGCUGAAGCACGAAAGCGUGGGUAUCGAACAGGAUUAGAUACCCCUGUAGUC